GCGCCGGUGGCUCAAAGGAGUAGGGCACCAGCCUCAUAUGCUGGAGGUGCGAGUUCAAAUCCAGCCCUGGCCCA
rnacentral:tRNA from 1 species